UAUUACAAGGUGUUUCCUCGUCAGAUUGUGUAUAAAAGAUUUGAUAAUUCGUUCUCUAUCACAACCAGCCCUGACAGAGACCAAACCAGUGAAAUCUAUCUCCGAAAAUAAAGCAAUGAUAAAGAUGCUGAAGCUGAUUAUAUUCUCCUGUCUGCUGGCCUUUGUCGUGUGUCAAUCAUACCGUAUACGAUCCUACAGAGGAAGAGGAGAUUCCUUACUGCUUGAUGGUAUCCGUGGUAACAGAUGGGGUACAAGAUUGGAUCGUUCGGGGUCGGAUCUCUGGGACAACGACGCUUGGGAUCGUAAUACAUAUGGAAACGACUGGAACCGACGUGGAGGUAGAAUCUGGAGAAACAGGAGAAGAGAUAGAUUCGACAGGAGAGGAAGUAGAUUCGACAGAGGAUACUGAUGAUACGAUAAAUCAAUUUUGAAAAGAUCCGAGUGGCCAAAGAUUGAAGUUGAAAAAUCCAUACAAAUAUUUCCAUUGAUACAUUCAUUUGUAAAUUCAUAUUAAUCAUUUUGUGUUUUAAUAAAUCCUUAUCUUUAUCAAAAA